GUGGAAGCGUCUGGAAAGGCGCGCGAUACAGGGUGACAGCCCCGUACACAAAAAUGCACAUGCUGUGAGCUCGAUGAGUAGGGCGGGACACGUGGUAUCCUGUCUGAAUAUGGGGGGACCAUCCUCCAAGGCUAAAUACUCCUGACUGACCGAUAGUGAACCAGUACCGUGAGGGAAAGGCGAAAAGAACCCCGGCGAGGGGAGUGAAAAAGAACCUGAAACCGUGUACGUACAAGCAGUGGGAGCACGCUUAGGCGUGUGACUGCGUACCUUUUGUAUAAUGGGUCAGCGACUUAUAUUCUGUAGCAAGGUUAACCGAAUAGGGGAGCCGAAGGGAAACCGAGUCUUAACUGGGCGUUAAGUUGCAGGGUAUAGACCCGAAACCCGGUGAUCUAGCCAUGGGCAGGUUGAAGGUUGGGUAACACUAACUGGAGGACCGAACCGACUAAUGUUGAAAAAUUAGCGGAUGACUUGUGGCUGGGGGUGAAAGGCCAAUCAAACCGGGAGAUAGCUGGUUCUCCCCGAAAGCUAUUUAGGUAGCGCCUCGUGAAUUCAUCUCCGGGGGUAGAGCACUGUUUCGGCAAGGGGGUCAUCCCGACUUACCAACCCGAUGCAAACUGCGAAUACCGGAGAAUGUUAUCACGGGAGACACACGGCGGGUGCUAACGUCCGUCGUGAAGAGGGAAACAACCCAGACCGCCAGCUAAGGUCCCAAAGUCAUGGUUAAGUGGGAAACGAUGUGGGAAGGCCCAGACAGCCAGGAUGUUGGCUUAGAAGCAGCCAUCAUUUAAAGAAAGCGUAAUAGCUCACUGGUCGAGUCGGCCUGCGCGGAAGAUGUAACGGGGCUAAACCAUGCACCGAAGCUGCGGCAGCGACGCUGAUGCGUUGUUGGGUAGGGGAGCGUUCUGUAAGCCUGCGAAGGUGUGCUGUGAGGCAUGCUGGAGGUAUCAGAAGUGCGAAUGCUGACAUAAGUAACGAUAAAGCGGGUGAAAAGCCCGCUCGCCGGAAGACCAAGGGUUCCUGUCCAACGUUAAUCGGGGCAGGGUGAGUCGACCCCUAAGGCGAGGCC
rnacentral:rRNA from 1 species